rnacentral:misc_RNA from 1 species
CGGUACAAACGGCGAGUGGUCGAGGUCUCAGCAGGUGAAAACAGGGCUCAUUAGCUAUCGACUCUUCGCUCGUGGCGGUCUGAGACACGAGAAAGCCGUCGCGCAUUUCGCAGAAUCGAGAGAAAACAACGACGAGACUCGUCUUUGUGCGUGUUUCACUUAAAACCGGGAAAAUACAAGGAAAAGGUAAAAGUCAAGUGAGAUUUGUCUGCUCGUCAGUGCGCUAGUUUUUUUCUUUCGUUUUCGUAUGUCGGAGGAUUGAUUUGCAAACCGUAUUGGGCCAAUGACAAUAAUCGGAGUCUGUUAAGGAUUGUUUUAAUAUUUUUAUUCAUCUUUUUUGAUUUAAUCGAGAACGUACUAUGACAUAUGUGACGAAAUAUGUGGCGUUCUUGAUAUGUCAAGCUAUCGCAUUUGGAAGCAGUGUAGAUGAAGCCCAUUUAUCGUCGAAAAUUAGCGUUGGAGAAGACUCAAUUGUGUUUCCCAGCGAAUCAUCGAACGGCUUGAGUGAUAACCAACCUGGAAUUAAAAGAAUAGCAUUAGAUGGAAGCCUUCCUUCACAAGGUAUAGCAGGACAGGCAAAUGACAACCCAGAGUUACGGAACUACCCUUUGAGGGACUUUCAAGUGGAUACUGCCGCCAAUGUGGAUCCUCAAUAUGGCGAACAAUACACGAUCGAGUACAAGUAUCACAAUUUCGACAAGAUGACCAGAUUCUUACGUCAAACCACUGCCAGAUUUCCGUCCUUGACUGCCUUAUAUUCUAUAGGAAAAUCAAUUAGAGGUAGAGACCUAUGGGUAAUGGUUGUAUCUGCAUCACCGUAUGAACAUAUGAUUGGAAAGCCAGAUGUUAAGUAUAUCGGAAACAUCCACGGUAACGAAGCUGUAAGUCGCGAACUACUUCUACAACUUAUACAUUAUUUAGUGACGAGCUACAAUACAGAUCCUUAUAUAAAAUGGCUACUGGACAAUACAAGAAUUCAUAUCAUGCCUUCCAUGAAUCCUGAUGGUUUUGAAGUAUCUAAAGAAGGACAAUGUGAUGGAGCCCAAGGAAGAUAUAAUUCUCAAGGAUACGACUUGAACAGAAAUUUCCCUGAUUAUUUCAAGCAGAACAAUAGAAGAACCCAACCUGAAACUGAAGCUGUGAAGGAAUGGGUGAAGAAAAUUCAGUUUGUCCUCUCUGGCAGUCUUCAUGGCGGUGCUUUGGUCGCCAGCUAUCCUUUUGAUAAUACACCUAAUUCGCGAGUCUGCGCAUCUUCAGCUUUAUGUGCCAUGUUCACAUCCUAUACCCACACACCAUCAUUAACACCUGAUGACGACGUUUUCAAACAUCUGGCUCUAACUUAUUCCACUAACCAUGCUAAAAUGAGCAGAGGAGUUUCAUGUAAAACAUCACAAACAUCCUUUAAACGUGGUAUAACAAACGGUGCUGAAUGGUAUCCUUUAACCGGAGGUAUGCAAGACUAUAACUACGUAUGGUAUGGUUGCAUGGAGGUCACUUUGGAAGUUUCUUGUUGUAAAUAUCCUCCAGCUUAUGAGUUACCAAAAUACUGGGAAGACAAUAAAGUAGCAUUGAUAAAAUAUUUGGCAGAAGCUCACAGGGGUGUACAUGGAUUUGUGAUGGAUGAAUAUGGCAAUCCUGUCGAAAUGGCAUCUUUGAAGAUCAAAACAAGAGAUGUCGGUUUCCAAACCACGAAAUUUGGAGAAUUCUGGAGAAUAUUAAUGCCGGGAAUAUACAAACUUGAGGUCUAUGGAGAUGGAUUUGUACCGCGAGAAGUGGAAUUUAUGGUCGUCGAUGAUCAUCCAACAUUAUUAAACGUUACUUUACUGGCUGCCAAGAGUUGGGAACACUUCGCACCUUUAGUUACCGAUCCCCCCAAACCAAUUCUGCAAUUAGACGGAGUACCACCCAAUAAAGAAGCUUUAAACUUUCCCAAAAACUAAUCACCUAGAAUAAAAUGACCCCUUUCACUUGCUCACGUUAUUUUUAUUUGUUAGACAGGACAGUCACUUCUACAGACAUCCGGCACAGACCAACUACAACAGAGGACAAUUUGCACAGGGACCCCAUCAACCGGUAGCCCAGGAAAGCGGCAUAUUCUCAACAAUAACAAACGGUC